rnacentral:lncRNA from 1 species
CUGAGUAUCAUGUUGUUUUCCUUUUUGAAAAUGAUUGCCUGUCCAUGAAGAAAUGAUGAGAUAAAGUUUGAUGUUUGAAAAUGUUUCUUGUGAUUUCUUGUUGUAUAGUUCAAAUUGAUGAAAUUAGGGUUUGGAUUGUUGUUGUAUGGUGUUUGAUGUUUACAAUGAUGUGCUCAAUUGACAUUUUUGGGAAGAAUUGAGAAAUCAC